rnacentral:tRNA from 1 species
GCCUGGGUGGUGGAAUUGGUAGACACAGGGGACUUAAAAUCCCCAGGUCGUUAGGCCGUGCGGGUUCGAGUCCCGCCCUAGGCA